AAAUGAAGAAAUGCCGGACGGACAGAGGUCAUCACUGAUCAAAAGCGAUGACCUCUGUCCGUCCGGCGUUUCUUCAUUUUUGAACACAACAAUUUGGUGACUCCGUCGUGAUGGAGAUCAAUGGACGGACGGAGGAACAGCUGAUCUGAACAAAGCCCAGCGAUCGAUUUUCUUCACUCACACGGCGCCAUCGAAAAGGUGAGGACAGAGUCACGGACCAGCGCGCCAAGACCCUGAAGGCUGGAAGUUACAAUUUAAAUUUGAACAAGGUGAGAAAAAUAAUAAAUUACUGGAUACAUUUUUACAAUAAAUAUAGAUCAGUUGAAAACAUUGCAAAUUUGUAUAUAAUUGUAUAUUGUAUGGUUUUGUUUGGAAAAGACCACAACCGGUUAAGUUUUUGUUUUGUAGCCUAACAGGGCCCACAAGGCUUUGUUCUUUGAAACAAAGGGCUGUGAUCGGAACCACCAUUGGUUGCGGUUGGGGAACGUGGAGCACAUGUUUUUGGAACAUUACAAGAUGGCGGGCGGAGAUAAAUAGAGAAAACAGUUAAAAGAUGGCUGAGAAAGAAAUUCUCAGCACGGUCUAUAGAGGGGAUAACA